rnacentral:rRNA from 1 species
CACGUAGGGGGCGAGCGUUGUCCGGAUUUAUUGGGCGUAAAGAGCUCGUAGGCGGUUCGUCGCGUCGGCUGUGAAAUCCCGAGGCUCAACCUCGGGUCUGCAGUCGAUACGGGCGGACUGGAGUUCGGCAGGGGAGACUGGAAUUCCUGGUGUAGCGGUGAAAUGCGCAGAUAUCAGGAGGAACACCGGUGGCGAAGGCGGGUCUCUGGGCCGAUACUGACGCUGAGGAGCGAAAGCGUGGGGAGCGAACAGG